AGAGUUUGAUCAUGGCUCAGAUUGAACGCUGGCGGCAGGCCUAACACAUGCAAGUCGAACGGUAACAGGAAACAGCUUGCUGUUUCGCUGACGAGUGGCGGACGGGUGAGUAAUGUCUGGGAAACUGCCUGAUGGAGGGGGAUAACUACUGGAAACGGUAGCUAAUACCGCAUAACGUCGCAAGACCAAAGAGGGGGACCUUCGGGCCUCUUGCCAUCAGAUGUGCCCAGAUGGGAUUAGCUAGUAGGUGGGGUAACGGCUCACCUAGGCGACGAUCCCUAGCUGGUCUGAGAGGAUGACCAGCCACACUGGAACUGAGACACGGUCCAGACUCCUACGGGAGGCAGCAGUGGGGAAUAUCGCACAAUGGGCGCAAGCCUGAUGCAGCCAUGCCGCGUGUAUGAAGAAGGCCUUCGGGUUGUAAAGUACUUUCAGCGGGGAGGAAGGGAGUAAAGUUAAUACCUUUGCUCAUUGACGUUACCCGCAGAAGAAGCACCGGCUAACUCCGUGCCAGCAGCCGCGGUAAUACGGAGGGUGCAAGCGUUAAUCGGAAUUACUGGGCGUAAAGCGCACGCAGGCGGUUUGUUAAGUCAGAUGUGAAAUCCCCGGGCUCAACCUGGGAACUGCAUCUGAUACUGGCAAGCUUGAGUCUCGUAGAGGGGGGUAGAAUUCCAGGUGUAGCGGUGAAAUGCGUAGAGAUCUGGAGGAAUACCGGUGGCGAAGGCGGCCCCCUGGACGAAGACUGACGCUCAGGUGCGAAAGCGUGGGGAGCAAACAGGAUUAGAUACCCUGGUAGUCCACGCCGUAAACGAUGUCGACUUGGAGGUUGUGCCCUUGAGGCGUGGCUUCCGGAGCUAACGCGUUAAGUCGACCGCCUGGGGAGUACGGCCGCAAGGUUAAAACUCAAAUGAAUUGACGGGGGCCCGCACAAGCGGUGGAGCAUGUGGUUUAAUUCGAUGCAACGCGAAGAACCUUACCUGGUCUUGACAUCCACGGAAGUUUUCAGAGAUUAGAAUGUGCCUUCGGGAACCGUGAGACAGGUGCUGCAUGGCUGUCGUCAGCUCGUGUUGUGAAAUGUUGGGUUAAGUCCCGCAACGAGCGCAACCCUUAUCCUUUGUUGCCAGCGGUCCGGCCGGGAACUCAAAGGAGACUGCCAGUGAUAAACUGGAGGAAGGUGGGGAUGACGUCAAGUCAUCAUGGCCCUUACGACCAGGGCUACACACGUGCUACAAUGGCGCAUACAAAGAGAAGCGACCUCGCGAGAGCAAGCGGACCUCAUAAAGUGCGUCGUAGUCCGGAUUGGAGUCUGCAACUCGACUCCAUGAAGUCGGAAUCGCUAGUAAUCGUGGAUCAGAAUGCCACGGUGAAUACGUUCCCGGGCCUUGUACACACCGCCCGUCACCAUGGGAGUGGGUUGCAAAAGAAGUAGGUAGCUUAACCUUCGGGAGGGCGCUUACCACUUUGUGAUUCAUGACUGGGGUGAAGUCGUAACAAGGUAACCGUAGGGGAACCUGCGGUUG
rnacentral:rRNA from 1 species